UAACUUUUAUUUUGUGUUUGACUGUUUGUUUACAAAUAUCGUACGCGGCUGUCGUUUGUCAUUUGUUUUAUUAGCAUUUUAAGAACAAUGAAGUCAGGCGUGAAAACUGCUUGUACAAUCAGUCAUUCGAGUGGUGCCAUCUAGUGGCAAAGGCAACGACGAAAUGUGCGAUCCUAACCUAACCUAACCAACCGUAGCGUUUUGGCACUACAACUAUUUUACUUAUUUUAGCCAUCGCGGGCCUUUUAUUAUUUUUAUAUUAUUAUUUUAGUAUUGAUCAACCUAACCUGUACUUGGUUUCAAACUAGGCUAUCCCAUUGCUGUUUUUUAAAUUGAAUAAUUGCGCAAUAGCGCGCCACUUCACCAUUCAGCCCGGUUCAGCCAUUGACGUAUGCCCAACUAAAUCUCGAAGGCGGACACCCAGUGGCCUUAAUUUAAGUUCUCUUAAUUUUCCACGUUUCCCCCAAAAUAAAUAAAAAAAAAAAAAAACACAUAGCAGACGAAAACCCCGAGUGCAUUGCCUGAGUUUUAGUCUUUUUUUUUUACCCGUCACCCCCCGUUUGAACACACUAAAGCUCGGGGUAAAUGGCGAUCCCCGAGUCCAUUCCCCUGACCUCGAGCCCCGACCCCCGACCCCCGAGUUUUAGUUACGCCCGUAAAGCUUGCCAACAAGAGAAUCUCUUGUAAUCAUUCCUAAUAGGGCACUGGCAUCCUUAUAUGCUUUAGUAUUUUGUAUAAACAUCAAUGUUCUAUCUCAAGAUGCAAACACCUGGGAAUGCUCCUUUCAUGCAACCAAAGAAGGACAUACCACACGGACAAACGGCCAGCAAGCCGUUUAAACCAGUAAACUACUGAAAACUUGUUCGUACAUUACGUCAAUGGUCAAGAUAUCGCUCGAAAAUUUUCCCUGCCAACCUGCCACUAGACACAACUUUUAGAGUUUAAAUGUUGUCAAAACAUUUGAUUACGGUCUUCAACUUUUCUUCAAAGUAAUAACACCUCGUGUCGGGAUGAAAACUAAAAA